rnacentral:rRNA from 1 species
CUACGGGGGGCUGCAGUGGGGAAUAUUGGACAAUGGGCGAAAGCCUGAUCCAGCCAUGCCGCGUGUGUGAAGAAGGCCUUCGGGUUGUAAAGCACUUUCAGUGGGGAAGAAAGCCUUGGGGCUAAUACCCUCGAGGAAGGACAUCACCCACAGAAGAAGCACCGGCUAACUCCGUGCCAGCAGCCGCGGUAAUACGGAGGGUGCGAGCGUUAAUCGGAAUUACUGGGCGUAAAGCGCGCGUAGGCGGUCUGAUAAGCCGGUUGUGAAAGCCCCGGGCUCAACCUGGGAACGGCAUCCGGAACUGUCAGGCUAGAGUGCAGGAGAGGAAGGUAGAAUUCCCGGUGUAGCGGUGAAAUGCGUAGAGAUCGGGAGGAAUACCAGUGGCGAAGGCGGCCUUCUGGACUGACACUGACGCUGAGGUGCGAAAGCGUGGGUAGCAAACAGGAUUAGAUACCCCUGGUAGUC